rnacentral:rRNA from 1 species
UACGUAGGGGGCUAGCGUUAUCCGGAAUUACUGGGCGUAAAGGGUGCGUAGGUGGUUUCUUAAGUCAGAGGUGAAAGGCUACGGCUCAACCGUAGUAAGCCUUUGAAACUGGGGAACUUGAGUGCAGGAGAGGAGAGUGGAAUUCCUAGUGUAGCGGUGAAAUGCGUAGAUAUUAGGAGGAGCACCAGUUGCGAAGGCGGCUCUCUGGACUGUAACUGACACUGAGGCACGAAAGCGUGGGGAGCAAACAGG